rnacentral:rRNA from 1 species
GAACGGCUCUUCGGAGCAGUGGCGGACGGGUGAGUAACGCGUGGGAACGUGCCCUUUGGUUCGGAACAACACAGGGAAACUUGUGCUAAUACCGGAUGUGCCCUUCGGGGGAAAGAUUUAUCGCCAUUGGAGCGGCCCGCGUAGGAUUAGGUAGUUGGUGGGGUAAUGGCCCACCAAGCCGACGAUCCAUAGCUGGUCUGAGAGGAUGAUCAGCCACACUGGGACUGAGACACGGCCCAGACUCCUACGGGAGGCAGCAGUGGGGAAUCUUGCGCAAUGGGCGAAAGCCUGACGCAGCCAUGCCGCGUGAAUGAUGAAGGUCUUAGGAUUGUAAAAUUCUUUCACCGGGGAAGAUAAUGACGGUACCCGGAGAAGAAGCCCCGGCUAACUUCGUGCCAGCAGCCGCGGUAAUACCGAAGGGGGCUAGCGUUGCUCGGAAUUACUGGGCGUAAAGGGCGCGUAGGCGGACAGUUAAGUCAGAGGUGAAAGCCCAGGGCUCAACCUUGGAAUUGCCUUUGAUACUGGCUGUCUUGAGUUCGGGAGAGGUGAGUG